rnacentral:rRNA from 1 species
UGGGGGAUAUUGCACAAUGGGCGAAAGCCUGAUGCAGCGACGCCGCGUGGGGGAUGAAGGCCUUCGGGUUGUAAACUUCUUUUGCUCUGAACAAGGCAUGCUAAUGGGUGUGUUGAGUGUAGGGGUUGAUUAGCGCCGGCUAACUACGUGCCAGCAGCCGCGGUAAUACGUAGGGCGCGAGCGUUGUCCGGAAUUAUUGGGCGUAAAGGGCUUGUAGGUGGCUGGUUGCGUCUGUCGUGAAAGCUCAUGGCUUAACUGUGGGUUGGCGGUGGGUACGGGCUGGCUUGAGUGCAGUAGGGGAGGCUGGAAUUCCUGGUGUAGCGGUGGAAUGCGCAGAUAUCAGGAGGAAUACCGGUGGCGAAGGCGGGUCUCUGGGCUGUUACUGACACUGAGGAGCGAAAGCAUGGGGAGCGAACAGG